GACGAACGCUGGCGGCGUGCCUAAUACAUGCAAGUUGAGCGAUGAAGAUUGGUGCUUGCCCCAAUUUGAAGAGCAGCGAACGGGUGAAUAACGCGUGGGGAAUCUGCCUUUGAGCGGGGGACAACAUUUGGAAACGAAUGCUAAUACCGCAUAACAACUUUAAACAUAAGUUUUAAGUUUGAAAGAUGCAAUUGCAUCACUCAAAGAUGAUCCCGCGUUGUAUUAGCUAGUUGGUGAGGUAAAGGCUCACCAAGGCGAUGAUACAUAGCCGACCUGAGAGGGUGAUCGGCCACAUUGGGACUGAGACACGGCCCAAACUCCUACGGGAGGCAGCAGUAGGGAAUCUUCGGCAAUGGACGAAAGUCUGACCGAGCAACGCCGCGUGAGUGAAGAAGGUUUUCGGAUCGUAAAACUCUGUUGGUAGAGAAGAACGUUGGUGAGAGUGGAAAGCUCAUCAAGUGACGGUAACUACCCAGAAAGGGACGGCUAACUACGUG
rnacentral:rRNA from 1 species